UCCUACGUAUCUCCGAGGUCACUACAAAGA
rnacentral:piRNA from 1 species